GAGUAAUGCGUGACCAACCUCGCCCCAUGCUCCAGAAUAGCUCUUGGAAACGGGUGGUAAUGCUGGAUGCUCCAACUUGACGCAUGUCUUGUUGGGAAAGUGUUUAGUGGCAUGGGAUGGGGUCGCGUCCUAUCAGCUUGUAGGCGGGGUAAUGGCCCACCUAGGCUUCGACGGGUAGCCGGCCUGAGAGGGCGGACGGCCACAUUGGGACUGAGAUACGGCCCAGACUCCUACGGGAGGCAGCAGGC
rnacentral:rRNA from 1 species